AUGGUAUUAACUACCUGGUGGUCAAAAAGAAAGAAGAUUAAAUGCAUUCCAAGCUUUCUAAUUUUACAACCACAAGCCCCUAACCCGAGACGGAUAGACAUAAUGCCCUGGCUGAAUUUGCAAAUGGUCAUAAAUAGAAUGCGAGUAGGGGAACCAGGGAGGGCUCCAAAAGAAGGAGUUUCCAUCAAGAAUCUGAUAACUCACAUUUUCUUGAAGAAUGAGCCUUGCCUUAAGGACGGAGGCCCAAUUUCCUGUUUUUGGGAUGUUGGUUUUUGCUCUCCAUAUAGAUGUGCCUGGAAAGUAUUUGGGAGAGAAAGCUUUAAGGAUCUUCUGAAUUCUCCAUGCCGUUGA
rnacentral:rRNA from 1 species